rnacentral:rRNA from 1 species
CCUACGGGUGGCAGCAGUGGGGGAUAUUGCACAAUGGGGGAAACCCUGAUGCAGCGACGCCGCGUGGGUGAAGAAGUAUUUCGGUAUGUAAAGCCCUAUCAGCAGGGAAGAAAGAAGACGGUACCUGACUAAGAAGCCCCGGCUAACUACGUGCCAGCAGCCGCGGUAAUACGUAGGGGGCGAGCGUUAUCCGGAUUCACUGGGUGUAAAGGGAGCGUAGACGGCCGUGCAAGCCAGGAGUGAAAGCCCGGGGCCCAACCCCGGGACUGCUCGUGGAACUGUGCGGCUGGAGUGCGGGAGGGGCAGGCGGAAUUCCUGGUGUAGCGGUGAAAUGCGUAGAUAUCAGGAGGAACACCGGCGGCGAAGGCGGCCUGCUGGACCGCGACUGACGUUGAGGCUCGAAAGCGUGGGGAGCGAACAGGAUUAGAUACCCGUGUAGUC